AUUAUAAUUAGAUUUUGCUAUCUCAUUAGAUUAGAUAAUGUUAAAAAUGUAUAGAAAAUAUAAAAUGUGUUUUAUAUACAUGUACUUUUAAUUGAAAUCCAUCCAUGCAUAUAACUUGCUGUUAAAAGUCUUGCAAAACCUCAAAUACUAACUUCAGUAGACAUAGUUUUGGAGUGUUCCGGAUUUCUCUCCGGUGUUUGCACUGGUCU